GGAGCCGUGCCUGAAAAAAGGACUACUUUGAUGGAGUAGAUUACGGGGGUUAAAGUCCCCCCGACUCCU
rnacentral:tRNA from 2 species